CCAACGGCCCUCUUCAGGGCCACCAGCUUGCGAGUACAAAUCGAAA
rfam:Necator americanus N_americanus-1.0_Cont70.34, whole genome shotgun sequence.